GAAAGGAUCAUUAACGGUAUAGUGUUUAAAACCACUUACCAAACUGAAACUAAAGUACGUGAAUAAGAAGCUGGCGUAGAAAGGUCGGUUCUCGGGGUGGCCUGGGUUUCUGGGUCGCUGACUGCCGAGACGGUCGGUCUACUUGCUAGUGGCAGUGAAGUUUCGACUUUGCUGUACCGCCCUGUUGAAAUGCUAUGGUGGUAGCGACACACUUAACUGUGUGUCUCCACCGAUCGGGAUAGGAAGUGGCCCCAUGUAGGGCGGAGACCACUCCUGUCCCACUGUGUCCCUAACUUCGUGCGGUGCCUGGUCCGGGGUUGCUGCUCAGCGGAACAAUGUCGACCUUUGGGUACGAUCUCUUGUCUUCGUCUGUGUAGUUCUCGGGGUUCCUUCGACUUCGGUCGCUGGAGCUAGGCUCGUGUAAGCGUUUGCGCUGUCGCACGAAUUGGGACUUCGAACACUCGUCUUCGUGUGUCUCGAACCUUUGAAAUCUAAAAUCGUUUCUGAUGUUAAUUCAAUACAAAGUCUAUACGACUGCAAGCGGUGGAUCACUCGGAUCGCAGAUCGAUGAAGAACGCAGCUAACUGCGUUAUGCGGUGUGAAUUGCAGGACACGCCGAACACUCGAUAUUCGAACGCACAUUGCGGCUACGAGUUAACUCUCGUAGCCUUAUCUGUCUGAGGGUCGGAAAUGUUAUAACGAAUCGUAGAUGCCUUUGUAAUGACGCGGCCUUUGUUGCUGUCGUUGUCGGGCAAUAAGCAGUGAAACGGUUCCCUUGUCUGCUGACGGUUAAUCAGGGGGAGAAACUUUACAGUUACUCGUUGCCUUGCGCUGUCCGUCUGGUGGUUGGGUCCGAUGACACUCUAUACCUAAAGGCCUCGUGCCUUGAUGAAGUUUAAACUGUCGACCUCAGAUCAGGUAAGAUUACCCGCUGAAUUUAAGCAUAUAAUUAAGCGGAGGAAAAGAAACCAAAAGGGAUACCCCUAGUAGCGGCGAGCGAACAGGGUGGAGCCCAGCGUGAAGGGCUGCCGUCGAAAGGCGUGCAGCCGGUGCCACGUGUAUGUCGUAGUGCUAACCGUGAGUCUCUCGGCGCUGCAAGUUCCCCUGACAGGGACUUCUUUCCAAAGUGGGUGCUAGGCCCAUAGCGGACGUCGAGGGCUUUCGCUAGCUGCGUCAUAAUAGAGUCGGGUUGCUUGAGAGUGCAACCUAAAGCAGGUGGUAAACUCCAUCUAAGGCUAAAUACUACUGCGAUACCGAUAGCAAACAAGUACCGUGAGGGAAAGUUGCAAAGAACUUUGAAGAGAGAGUUCAAAAGGACGUGAAACCGCUUGCAGGUAAACGGGUGGACCCACGAAGUUGUGCGGAGGGAGGAUUCAACUAUCUAACCGUCGACUGUGUCAGUUGAGUGGCUUUCGAAAGAGGGUGCUCGGCUGGUGCGCUAAGGCCGGCGGUCAGUGGUGCAUUUCCUUGUCUCUCGCGCUAACACCGCGACCACUUGGACAUGCUGCGAGACCAUAUGCGAAUGUUGGCUGGAGGUAGCCCGGGCACUUUCGGGUGUCGCAGGUGUUAUACCGGCUCGAUUUGUCAUCUCGUCAGUAAGACCGAGUGGCUUAAUUUCCCAGUUUCUGGGUUGGCAAGUGUCAGUCUUGCCCGGCUCCGAGGCGAGUGCUCUCGUCAGUGUGCGUUUGGUCACUCAGUGGCUGAAGUCGCUGGCGAGUAGUCCGUCUAAGCGGUGUCGGUGCUUGGCGGGCACGAGCAUCUGCGGUGAGUAGGUCGGUCAUCCACCCGACCCGUCUUGAAACACGGACCAUGGAGUCUAACACAUGCGCGAGUCCCUCAGUCUUGAAUAGGCUCGAGAGGCGAAAUGAAAGUGAGAGUUACGAUCCCUGUGCGGUCACUUCGGGUGGCGGCGGGGCGCAGUAACGGCCCGCCUGUUCCGCCUUAUGACGGUUUGGCGGAGCUUUAGCGUAUGUGUUGGUACCCGAAAGAUGGUGAACUAUGCCUGGGCAAGACGAAGCCAGAGGAAACUCUGGUGGAGGUCUGUAGCGAUUCUGACGUGCAAAUCGAUCGUCAGACCUGGGUAUAGGGGCGAAAGACUAAUCGAACCAUCUAGUAGCUGGUUCCCUC
rnacentral:misc_RNA from 1 species